rnacentral:rRNA from 1 species
AUUGAACGCUGGCGGCAUGCCUUACACAUGCAAGUCGAACGGUAACAGGCCUUCGGAUGCUGACGAGUGGCGAACGGGUGAGUAAUACAUCGGAACGUGCCCGAUCGUGGGGGAUAACGCAGCGAAAGCUGUGCUAAUACCGCAUACGAUCUACGGAUGAAAGCGGGGGAUCGCAAGACCUCGCGCGGACGGAGCGGCCGAUGGCAGAUUAGGUAGUUGGUGGGGUAAAGGCUCACCAAGCCUGCGAUCUGUAGCUGGUCUGAGAGGACGACCAGCCACACUGGGACUGAGACACGGCCCAGACUCCUACGGGAGGCAGCAGUGGGGAAUUUUGGACAAUGGGCGCAAGCCUGAUCCAGCCAUGCCGCGUGCAGGAUGAAGGCCUUCGGGUUGUAAACUGCUUUUGUACGGAACGAAAAGGUUCUUUCUAAUAAAGAGAGCUCAUGACGGUACCGUAAGAAUAAGCACCGGCUAACUACGUGCCAGCCGCCGCAGUAACAC